rnacentral:rRNA from 1 species
GACGAACGCUGGCGGCGUGCCUAAUACAUGCAAGUAGAACGCUGAAGGAGGAGCUUGCUUCUCUGGAUGAGUUGCGAACGGGUGAGUAACGCGUAGGUAACCUGCCUGGUAGCGGGGGAUAACUAUUGGAAACGAUAGCUAAUACCGCAUAAGAGUAGAUGUCGCAUGACAUUUGCUUAAAAGUUGCAAUUGCAUCACUACCAGAUGGACCUGCGUUGUAUUAGCUAGUUGGUGAGGUAACGGCUCACCAAGGCAACGAUACAUAGCCGACCUGAGAGGGUGAUCGGCCACACUGGGACUGAGACACGGCCCAGACUCCUACGGGAGGCAGCAGUAGGGAAUCUUCGGCAAUGGACGGAAGUCUGACCGAGCAACGCCGCGUGAGUGAAGAAGGUUUUCGGAUCGUAAAGCUCUGUUGUAAGAGAAGAACGAGUGUGAGAGUGGAAAGUUCACACUGUGACGGUAGCUUACCAGAAAGGGACGGCUAACUACGUG